AUUGAACGCUGGCGGCAUGCCUUACACAUGCAAGUCGAACGGCAGCACGGGAGCUUGCUCCUGGUGGCGAGUGGCGAACGGGUGAGUAAUACAUCGGAACGUACCCUGAAGUGGGGGAUAACGUAGCGAAAGUUACGCUAAUACCGCAUAUUCUGUGAGCAGGAAAGAGGGGGAUCGCAAGACCUCUUGCUUUAGGAGCGGCCGAUGUCGGAUUAGCUAGUUGGUGAGGUAAAGGCUCACCAAGGCGACGAUCCGUAGCGGGUCUGAGAGGAUGAUCCGCCACACUGGGACUGAGACACGGCCCAGACUCCUACGGGAGGCAGCAGUGGGGAAUUUUGGACAAUGGGCGCAAGCCUGAUCCAGCCAUGCCGCGUGAGUGAA
rnacentral:rRNA from 1 species